CAAAGCUGUAUCGACCAUUAAUUAUCACUUCUAUAAGAAGGAGUUUGUAAGUAACAUCUCUAGAAUAUAACUAGUAACUCUCCAUGACUUCUACAUGAACAAGUUUAAUUUCCUUUAUUAAAGAUAUAUUAAGGCACUUAGCAAAUUCUUCAUCUAAGAAAUACGUUAAGGCUCUUGAAUUUAAUAAGGUAGAGGCUUUGUAAUAUAUAGGUCCUAAAAUAAUAUUUAAUAUAAAAUAAAAAGAUGGUUUUGAGGAGAAAAUAAGACCUUCAUUAG
rnacentral:lncRNA from 1 species